rnacentral:rRNA from 1 species
UACGGGGGGAGCAAGCGUUGUUCGGAUUUACUGGGCGUACAGGGCGCGUAGGCGGCCACCGCAAGUCGACUGUGAAAUCUCCGGGCUUAACCCGGAAAGGUCAGCCGAUACUGCGGGGCUAGAGUGCAGAAGGGGCAACUGGAAUUCUCGGUGUAGCGGUGAAAUGCGUAGAUAUCGAGAGGAACACCUGAGGUGAAGACGGGUUGCUGGGCUGACACUGACGCUGAGGCGCGAAAGCCAGGGGAGCAAACGGG